rnacentral:rRNA from 1 species
CCAAUAGCGUAUAUUAAAGUUGUUGCAGUUAAAAAGCUCGUAGUUGAAUUUUAGGCCUGGCCGGGCGGUCCGUCUUUUGGCGAGUACUGUCCUGUUGUCGGGUCUUCCUUCUGGUGAGCCAGUAUGUCCUUAAUUGGGUGUGCCGGGGAGCCAGGACCAUUACCUUGAAAAAAUUAGAGUGUUUAAAGCGGGCUAUUGCUUGAAUAGAUUAGCAUGGAAUAAUAGAAUAGGACGUUGUGGUUCUAUUUUGUUGGUUUCUAGGACCACCGUAAUGAUUAAUAGGGAUAGUUGGGGGCAUUAGUAUUCAAUUGUCAGAGGUGAAAUUCUUGGAUUUAUUGAAGACUAACUAUUGCGAAAGCAUUUGCCAAGGAUGUUUUCAUUAAUCAAGAACGAAAGUUAGGGGAUCGAAGACGAUCAGAUACCGUCGUAGUCUUAACCAUAAACUAUGCCGACUAGGAAUCGGGCGACGUUAUUUUCACGACUCGCUCGGCGCCUUAGA